rnacentral:rRNA from 1 species
UCGGGAAUUUUGGGCAAUGGGCGAAAGCCUGACCCAGCAACGCCGCGUGAAGGAUGAAGUCUCUCGGGAUGUAAACUUCGUAAGAAUAGGAAGAAUAAAUGACGGUACUAUUUGUAAGGUCCGGCUAACUACGUGCCAGCAGCCGCGGUAAUACGUAGGGACCAAGCGUUGUUCGGAUUUACUGGGCGUAAAGGGCGCGUAGGCGGCGUGGUAAGUCACUUGUGAAAUCUCCGAGCUUAACUCGGAACGGUCAAGUGAUACUGCUGUGCUAGAGUACAGAAGGGGCAAUCGGAAUUCUUGGUGUAGCGGUGAAAUGCGUAGAUAUCAAGAGGAACACCUGAGGUGAAGACGGGUUGCUGGGCUGAUACUGACGCUGAGGCGCGAAAGCUAGGGUAGCAAACGGGAUUAGAUACCCAGGUAGUCCCUGAGCGGGCUGGCAAGGCGCAU